UGAGGAAUAUUGCGCAAUGGAGGAAACUCUGACGCAGCCACGCCGCGUGCAGGAAGACACCCCUCAGGGGCGUAAACUGCUUUUAUACGGGAAGAACACCUCCUUCUGGGAGGUCUGACGGUACCGUACGAAUAAGGACCGGCUAACUCUGUGCCAGCAGCCGCGGUAAUACGGAGGGUCCAAGCGUUGUCCGGAAUCACUGGGUGUAAAGGGUGCGUAGGCGGGCGUGUAAGUCAGGGGUGAAAGCCACCGGCCUAACCGGUGAACUGCCCUUGAUACUGCACGUCUUGAGUCCUGGAGAGGCUAUCGGAAUUCGUGGUGUAGCGGUGAAAUGCGUAAAUAUCACGAGGAACACCUGAUGCGUAGGCGGAUAGCUGGACAGGUACUGACGCUAAGGCACGAAAGCGUGGGGAGCGAACAGGAUUAGAUACCCUGGUAGUCCACGCCGUAAAC
rnacentral:rRNA from 1 species